rnacentral:rRNA from 1 species
GCCCUCCACAGGGGGACAGCCUUCCGAAAGGGAGGCUAAUCCCGCGUAUCUCGUUCCGGGGCAUCCCGGGGUGAUGAAAGGUUUCGGCCGGUGGAGGAUGGGCAUGCGGCGCAUUAGGCAGACGGCGGGGUAACGGCCCACCGUACCGACGAUGCGUAGGGGUUCUGAGAGGAAGGUCCCCCACACUGGUACUGAGACACGGACCAGACUCCUACGGGAGGCAGCAGUGAGGAAUAUUGGUCAAUGGGCGGGAGCCUGAACCAGCCAAGCCGCGUGAGGGAAGAAGGCCCUACGGGUCGUAAACCUCUUUUGCCGGGGAACAAAAGCGGGUAUGCAUACCCGUAUGAGUGUACCCGGAGAAAAAGCAUCGGCUAACUCCGUGCCAGCAGCCGCGGUAAUACGGAGGAUGCGAGCGUUAUCCGGAUUUAUUGGGUUUAAAGGGUGCGUAGGCGGCAUUUCAAGUCAGCGGUAAAAUUGCGGGGCUCAACCCCGUAUAGCCGUUGAGACUGAGGAGCUAGAGACGGCGAGAGGUACGCGGAAUGCGCAGUGUAGCGGUGAAAUGCAUAGAUAUUGCGCAGAACUCCGAUUGCGAAAGCAGCGUACUGGCG